rnacentral:misc_RNA from 1 species
UCCGGCUUAUCACCGGCGGUUUCUUUAGAGUGCCCAACUAAAUGAUGGCAACUAAAGACGAGGGUUGCGCUCGUUGCGGGACUUAACCCAACAUCUCACGACACGAGCUGACGACAGCCAUGCAGCACCUGUUACUCAUCCAGCCGAACUGAAGGAAAUCAUCUCUGAAAUCCGCGAUGAGGAUGUCAAACGCUGGAGGAAGGUGGGGAUGACGUAGUACACCUGAAC